UACCGGAUAUUCUUGCUUUAUAUAAGUUUUGCAAGCAAAGGUGGCCUCUGCAUAUGCUACCGCAUGAAGAGGGGUCUGCGUACCAUUAGCUAGUAGGUAGGGUAAUGGCCUACCUAGGCGACGAUGGUUAGCGGGUCUGAGAGGAUGAUCCGCCACACUGGCACUGGAACACGGGCCAGACUCCUACGGGAGGCAGCAGUGAGGAAUAUUGCGCAAUGGGGGCAACCCUGACGCAGCGACGCCGCGUGAGUGAGGAAGGCCUUCGGGUCGUAAAGCUCUGUCAAGAGGAAAGAAGUGCAUGGUGGUUAAUACCCGCCAUGUUUGACGGUACCUCUAAAGGAAGCACCGGCUAACUCCGUGCCAGCAGCCGCGGUAAUACGGAGGGUGCAAGCGUUGUUCGGAAUCACUGGGCGUAAAGGGCGCGCAGGCGGUUUGGUAAGUCAGAUGUGAAAGCCCACGGCUUAACUGUGGAAGUGCAUUUGAUACUGCCAGACUUGAGUACCAGAGGGGAAAGUGGAAUUCCCGGUGUAGAGGUGAAAUUCGUAGAUAUCGGGAGGAAUACCGGUGGCGAAGGCGACUUUCUGGCUGAGUACUGACGCUGAGGCGCGAAAGCGUGGGGAGCAAACAGGAUUAGAUACCCUGGUAGUCCACGCCGUAAACGAUGUCAACUAGAUGUAGGGGGUGUUGAUCCCCU
rnacentral:rRNA from 1 species